UCCUAGUUACCAAUGCGCCCGUACCGCAAACCGACACUGGUGGGUGAUGGUGAGAACCAUAAGGGGAUCGGGAGAACCUUCGUUAAGGAACUCGGCAAAUUAGAUCCGUAACUUCGGGAGAAGGAUCGCCUUCGGCUGUGUACCGACUCGCUCGGGAAGCAGCUGGAGGCCGCAGUGAGCAGGCCCAGGCGACUGUUUAUCAAAAUCACAGGUCUCUGCAAAAGCGAAAGCUGACGUAUAGGGGCUGACGCCUGCCCAGUGCCGGAAGGUUAAGAGGAGAGGUUAACGCUUUGAAUUGAAGCCCCGGUGAACGGCGGCCGUAACUAUAACGGUCCUAAGGUAGCGAAAUUCCUUGUCGGGUAAGUUCCGACCCGCACGAAAGGCGUAACGAUCUGGGCACUGUCUCGACGAAGGACCCGGCGAAAUUGAAUUGACCGUGAAGAUGCGGUUGACCCGUGGCAGGACAAAAAGACCCCGUGGAGCUUUACUGCAGUUUGGUACUGGGAGUGGGUCUGAGAUGCGUAGGAUAGGUGGGAGGCUUUGAAGCCGGUCUUUCGGGACUGGUGGAGCCAACCUUGAAAUACCACCCUUCUCUGAUCUGCUUUCUAACUCGCGAGCAAGCGUGAGGACAGUGUCUGAUGGGCAGUUUGACUGGGGCGGUCGCCUCCUAAAAUGUAACGGAGGCGCACAAAGGUCCCCUCAGGGUGGAUGGAAAUCACCCGUUGAGUGCAUUGGCAUAAGGGGGCUUGACUGUGAGACCUACAAGUCGAGCAGGGACGAAAGUCGGUCAAAGUGAUCCUACGGUACCGAGUGGAAGGGCCGUGGCUUAACGGAUAUAAGCUACCCCGGGGAUAACAGCUUAUCUUGCCCAAGCGUCCACAGCGACGGCAAGGUUUGGCACCUCGAUGUCGGCUCGUCGCAUCCUGGGGCUGGAGUAGGUCCCAAGGGUUGGGCUGUUCGCCCAUUAAAGCGGUACGCGAGCUGGGUUCAGAACGUCGUGAGACAGUUCGGUCUCUAUCCGCCAUGGGCGUAGGAAGUUUGAGAGGAUUUGCCCCUAGUACGAGAGGACCGGGGUGAACGAACCUCUGGUGUGCGGGUUGUUCCGCCAGGAGCAUUGCCCGGUAGCCAUGUUCGGAUCGGAUAAGCGCUGAAACCAUCUAAGUGCGAAGCCGACCUCAAGAUGAGACUUCCCACCGAGUUAAUCGGGUAAGACCACAGGAAGACUACCUGUUUGAUAGG
rnacentral:rRNA from 1 species